rnacentral:ncRNA from 1 species
GGGCGCGGCCGAAGCGUAGAUCCCGGGGACCAUUGCGGUCACCAACGCCUCAUUCGAGGCGCCUCCCCGGGGGAGCGAGUGGUGAGACCGGCGUCCGCGUUG